UACGAAGGGGGCUAGCGUUGCUCGGAAUCACUGGGCGUAAAGCGCACGUAGGCGGAUUGCUAAGUCAGGGGUGAAAUCCCGGAGCUCAACUCCGGGUCUGCAGUCGAUACGGGCGGACUCGAGUUCGGCAGGGGAGACUGGAAUUCCUGGUGUAGCGGUGAAAUGCGCAGAUAUCAGGAGGAACACCGGUGGCGAAGGCGGGUCUCUGGGCCGAUACUGACGCUGAGGAGCGAAAGCGUGGGGAGCGAACAGG
rnacentral:rRNA from 1 species